GGUUAAGCGACUAAGCGUACACGGUGGAUGCCCUGGCAGUCAGAGGCGAUGAAGGACGUGCUAAUCUGCGAUAAGCGUCGGUAAGGUGAUAUGAACCGUUAUAACCGGCGAUUUCCGAAUGGGGAAACCCAGUGUGAUUCGUCACACUAUCAUUACGUGAAUACAUAGCGUAAUGAAGCGAACCGGGGGAACUGAAACAUCUAAGUACCCCGAGGAAAAGAAAUCAACCGAGAUUCCCCCAGUAGCGGCGAGCGAACGGGGAGCAGCCCAGAGUCUGAAUCAGCUUGUGUGUUAGUGGAACGGUCUGGAAAGUCCGACGGUACAGGGUGAUAGUCCCGUACACCAAAAUGCACAGGUUGUGAACUCGAAGAGUAGGGCGGGACACGUGGUAUCCUGUCUGAAUAUGGGGGGACCAUCCUCCAAGGCUAAAUACUCCUGACUGACCGAUAGUGAACCAGUACCGUGAGGGAAAGGCGAAAAGAACCCCGGCGAGGGGAGUGAAAAAGAACCUGAAACCGUGUACGUACAAGCAGUGGGAGCAUCCUUUUGGGUGUGACUGCGUACCUUUUGUAUAAUGGGUCAGCGACUUAUAUUCUGUAGCAAGGUUAACCGUAUAGGGGAGCCGAAGGGAAACCGAGUCUUAACUGGGCGUUAAGUUGCAGGGUAUAGACCCGAAACCCGGUGAUCUAGCCAUGGGCAGGUUGAAGGUUGGGUAACACUAACUGGAGGACCGAACCGACUAAUGUUGAAAAAUUAGCGGAUGACUUGUGGCUGGGGGUGAAAGGCCAAUCAAACCGGGAGAUAGCUGGUUCUCCCCGAAAGCUAUUUAGGUAGCGCCUCGUGAAUUCAUCUUCGGGGGUAGAGCACUGUUUCGGCUAGGGGGUCAUCCCGACUUACCAACCCGAUGCAAACUGCGAAUACCGAAGAAUGUUAUCACGGGAGACACACGGCGGGUGCUAACGUCCGUCGUGAAGAGGGAAACAACCCAGACCGCCAGCUAAGGUCCCAAAGUCAUGGUUAAGUGGGAAACGAUGUGGGAAGGCACAGACAGCCAGGAUGUUGGCUUAGAAGCAGCCAUCAUUUAAAGAAAGCGUAAUAGCUCACUGGUCGAGUCGGCCUGCGCGGAAGAUGUAACGGGGCUAAACCAUGCACCGAAGCUGCGGCAGCGACACUAUGUGUUGUUGGGUAGGGGAGCGUUCUGUAAGCCGUUGAAGGUGUACUGUGAGGUAUGCUGGAGGUAUCAGAAGUGCGAAUGCUGACAUAAGUAACGAUAAUGCGGGUGAAAAACCCGCACGCCGGAAGACCAAGGGUUCCUGUCCAACGUUAAUCGGGGCAGGGUGAGUCGACCCCUAAGGCGAGGCCGAAAGGCGUAGUCGAUGGGAAACAGGUUAAUAUUCCUGUACUUGGUGUUACUGCGAAGGGGGGACGGAGAAGGCUAUGUUAGCCGGGCGACGGUUGUCCCGGUUUAAGCAUGUAGGCGGAGGUUCCAGGUAAAUCCGGUACCUUUUUAACGCUGAGGUGUGAUGACGAGGCACUACGGUGCUGAAGUAACAAAUGCCCUGCUUCCAGGAAAAGCCUCUAAGCAUCAGGUAACACAAAAUCGUACCCCAAACCGACACAGGUGGUCAGGUAGAGAAUACCAAGGCGCUUGAGAGAACUCGGGUGAAGGAACUAGGCAAAAUGGUGCCGUAACUUCGGGAGAAGGCACGCUGAUAUGUAGGUGAAGUGAUUUACUCAUGGAGCUGAAAUCAGUCGAAGAUACCAGCUGGCUGCAACUGUUUAUUAAAAACACAGCACUGUGCAAACACGAAAGUGGACGUAUACGGUGUGACGCCUGCCCGGUGCCGGAAGGUUAAUUGAUGGGGUUAUCCGUAAGGAGAAGCUCUUGAUCGAAGCCCCGGUAAACGGCGGCCGUAACUAUAACGGUCCUAAGGUAGCGAAAUUCCUUGUCGGGUAAGUUCCGACCUGCACGAAUGGCGUAAUGAUGGCCAGGCUGUCUCCACCCGAGACUCAGUGAAAUUGAACUCGCUGUGAAGAUGCAGUGUACCCGCGGCAAGACGGAAAGACCCCGUGAACCUUUACUAUAGCUUGACACUGAACACUGGUCCUUGAUGUGUAGGAUAGGUGGGAGGCUUUGAAGUGUGGACGCCAGUCUGCAUGGAGCCAUCCUUGAAAUACCACCCUUUAAUGGCUGGUGUUCUAACGUGGACCCGUUACCCGGGUUGCGGACAGUGUCUGGUGGGUAGUUUGACUGGGGCGGUCUCCUCCUAAAGAGUAACGGAGGAGCACGAAGGUUAGCUAAUCCUGGUCGGACAUCAGGAGGUUAGUGCAAAGGCAUAAGCUAGCUUGACUGCGAGAGUGACGGCUCGAGCAGGUGCGAAAGCAGGUCUUAGUGAUCCGGUGGUUCUGAAUGGAAGGGCCAUCGCUCAACGGAUAAAAGGUACUCCGGGGAUAACAGGCUGAUACCGCCCAAGAGUUCAUAUCGACGGCGGUGUUUGGCACCUCGAUGUCGGCUCAUCACAUCCUGGGGCUGAAGUAGGUCCCAAGGGUAUGGCUGUUCGCCAUUUAAAGUGGUACGCGAGCUGGGUUUAGAACGUCGUGAGACAGUUCGGUCCCUAUCUGCCGUGGGCGCUGGAGAAUUGAGGGGGGCUGCUCCUAGUACGAGAGGACCGGAGUGGACGCAUCACUGGUGUUCGGGUUGUCAUGCCAAUGGCAUUGCCCGGUAGCUAAAUGCGGAAGAGAUAAGUGCUGAAAGCAUCUAAGCACGAAACUUGCCCCGAGAUGAGUUCUCCCUGAGACUUUAAGUCUCCUGAAGGAACGUUGAAGACGACGACGUUGAUAGGUCGGGUGUGUAAGCGUAGCGAUACGUUGAGCUAACCGAUACUAAUGAACCGUGAGGCUUAACCUU
rnacentral:rRNA from 1 species